AUGACACAUGAUCACAAAUUAAUAUACGUGCAUUAUAGCCUACGACAGGCCACAUACCGAACGAUGUGCACACCACACAACCACAAAACGUAGAAUAUUAAAACUUCAAAAAUUUCUACUGAAUAUUCUUGCAUCAAUUCUCGUAUUUCAAACGCGCAUUCCAACGUCCUAGAACAUAUUCAUUUUUAUAGGUUAAAUAAAUGUUUGAUCCCUAAAAAAUAUAGUCAAUUUCGUUUUUUGUCCAAGUAAGGAUUAAUUUGGCAAAAUAUUCAAGCUUUCUCAUCAAUACAGUCAGACGAUGACAAAUGUGAAACGAUGGAAUGAGUUAUAUAUCUAUUUCAACAACCGAAAUUCUAUCUUUCUACCUAAACAAUAUCACGAAAUGACCAUUUCAGAGAGAUGGGUUGUCUCUUUCAUGAUAUUUCCAAGUAACUCCGACCCCGUUUCGUCAGUCUAGCACCGUAUCAUUGUUCAUCUCCUUAUUCUCUACAAAACUCAUAGAAGAACAGUACCAGCUGAGCAGAAAGUUUGAAUGUCUGAAGAAGCUUUGAUUGGGCACAGGACUGCUUGGAUGUUGGCAGAUGAGUUCAUGAAGUACAUCCAAUGAAAUUGGAGGUGGAGAUGUUCUUCUUGCAGGCAUUGGCAAGGCAAGGAGGAUGCAAGUUCCAAAUGUGAAUAUGCAGCAUUAUGUUGGUGAUUAUGUUCAUGUUGACAUGCUUGCUUGGCUCUAUCCAAACACUUUGAGAUACUGUGGGAUGAAGGAGCUGUCAAAGUGUGUGAUGAGGACUUGUUAACUAACUUGCUUGCUUGCUGUUGUUCAAAUACUCAUUAUCACUGUAAGUAAGAAUAAAUGAAAACAAUUGUGUACAACUUGUUCUAAUGAAUCUCUUGUUUAUAUAAACAAAGUGUUGGCCUUAGUUCUUUCUCAUUCAAUCACUUUAUUAUUCAACUCUAAGCUGUUAUCGAUUUGGAGAAAGUUUAAUAUUUUUAGCUUGCAACUGGUUUUUGUCACAAUCAAUGUAGAAAAUAUGGUAGACUCUUAGGCGAGAUUUGGUUAGGUGGGGGGAGGAAACUUGUAGAAAAAAAGAGAAAUGAGAAAACUAUCAUGAACAGAGUUAACAGUAUAUGUCCAAGAAAAAGGAGUUAAGAGCUAUACCUUAAACUUGUCUUUGCUUUUGAUAUUAAGGGCUUUCAACUGAAAAAAAAUUAAGAGCAUAAUAGAAAUUUAAUGAGCACCAUGAAAAGAUGUAUCCCUCAAAUUUGAUGAAUGCCUAUGAAUAUGUGAAAAUCAUUAAAAUGAAGAUGUUAAAUAUGCAGUUGGCAGUAGUAAACAAUCUCACCAUGAGUUUUGUGAACUAAAAUUCAAUUUUUCUUCCCCCCACCAACUUCGUGAAAUAUUCUAAUUUUUGUGUUCUUUUGACUUGCCUUCAUGCUGCUUGUUACUGGCGUGGUUCCUCCUUCAUGAAUUCCUUGAGUUGGCUGUGGAAACCUAUGGAUGGGAGACAAAGAAGAGGCAAAAGGUUGCAUAAUGGAGAAUGACACAAAGAUGUUCAUUUACUUGUACUUGUACUGUAAAGAAUAAUGCAUACCAAUUUAUACUGUUGGUUGUAACACAUAUAAUAUACAACCUGCAUCAUCAAUUGUAGAGUAUGUAAAUGUAAAUUUAUCUAACAUCAUGAAAAUGCAUAAUACAGGACAACAAGAAGUAAAAUGAAGCAUAGAUUUA